GCCGCCGGCCAUAGUGGGCGGGACCCACCCGGUCUCAUCAGAACCCGGAAGUUAAACCGCCCAACGCGCACCCGAGUACUGGGCUCCGCGAGGGCCUGGGAAAGGGGCGUGCUGGCGGCA
rnacentral:rRNA from 1 species